UGGGGAAUUUUGGACAAUGGGGGAAACCCUGAUCCAGCCAUCCCGCGUGUGCGAUGAAGGCCUUCGGGUUGUAAAGCACUUUUGGCAGGAAAGAAACGUCAUGGGUUAAUACCCCGUGAAACUGACGGUACCUGCAGAAUAAGCACCGGCUAACUACGUGCCAGCAGCCGCGGUAAUACGUAGGGUGCAAGCGUUAAUCGGAAUUACUGGGCGUAAAGCGUGCGCAGGCGGAUCGGAAAGAAAGAUGUGAAAUCCCAGAGCUCAACUUUGGAACUGCAUUUUUAACUACCGGGCUAGAGUGUGUCAGAGGGAGGUGGAAUUCCGCGUGUAGCAGUGAAAUGCGUAGAUAUGCGGAGGAACACCGAUGGCGAAGGCAGCCUCCUGGGAUAACACUGACGCUCAUGCACGAAAGCGUGGGGAGCAAACAGG
rnacentral:rRNA from 1 species